AGAGUUUGAUCCUGGCUCAGGACGAACGCUGGCGGCGUGCUUAACACAUGCAAGUCGAACGAGAGGACAAGAGAAGCUUGCUUCUUUUGGAAUCGAGUGGCAAACGGGUGAGUAACACGUAAACAACCUGCCUUCAGGAUGGGGACAACAGACGGAAACGACUGCUAAUACCGAAUACGCUUGGAAGACCGCAUGAUCUUCCAAGGAAAGGGUGGCCUCUACCUGUAAGCUAUCGCCUGAAGAGGGGUUUGCGUCUGAUUAGGCAGUCGGUGAGGUAACGGCCCACCAAGGCAACGAUCGGUAGCCGGACUGAGAGGUUGAACGGCCACAUUGGGACUGAGACACGGCCCAGACUCCUACGGGAGGCAGCAGUGGGGAAUAUUGCACAAUGGGGGAAACCCUGAUGCAGCGACGCCGCGUGGAGGAAGAAGGUCUUCGGAUUGUAAACUCCUGUUGUUGAGGAAGAUAAUGACGGUACUCAACAAGGAAGUGACGGCUAACUACGUGCCAGCAGCCGCGGUAAAACGUAGGUCACAAGCGUUGUCCGGAAUUACUGGGUGUAAAGGGAGCGCAGGCGGGCGAUCAAGUUGGAAGUGAAAUCCAUGGGCUCAACCCAUGAACUGCUUUCAAAACUGAUUGUCUUGAGUAGUGCAGAGGUAGGCGGAAUUCCCGGUGUAGCGGUGGAAUGUGUAGAUAUCGGGAGGAACACCAGUGGCGAAGGCGGCCUACUGGGCACCAACUGACGCUGAGGCUCGAAAGUGUGGGUAGCAAACAGGAUUAGAUACCCUGGUAGUCCACACCGUAAACGAUGAUUACUAGGUGUUGGAGGAUUGACCCCUUCAGUGCCGCAGUUAACACAAUAAGUAAUCCACCUGGGGAGUACGACCGCAAGGUUGAAACUCAAAGGAAUUGACGGGGGCCCGCACAAGCAGUGGAGUAUGUGGUUUAAUUCGACGCAACGCGAAGAACCUUACCAAGUCUUGACAUCCUGCGACGGACAUAGAAAUAUGUUUUUCCUUCGGGACGCAGAGACAGGUGGUGCAUGGUUGUCGUCAGCUCGUGUCGUGAGAUGUUGGGUUAAGUCCCGCAACGAGCGCAACCCUUAUGGUCAGUUACUACGCAAGAGGACUCUGGCCAGACUGCCGUUGACAAAACGGAGGAAGGUGGGGAUGACGUCAAAUCAUCAUGCCCUUUAUGACUUGGGCUACACACGUACUACAAUGGCGUUAAACAAAGAGAAGCAAGACCGCGAGGUGGAGCAAAACUCAGAAACAACGUCCCAGUUCGGACUGCAGGCUGCAACUCGCCUGCACGAAGUCGGAAUUGCUAGUAAUCGCAGAUCAGCAUGCUGCGGUGAAUACGUUCCCGGGCCUUGUACACACCGCCCGUCACACCAUGAGAGCCGGGGGGACCCGAAGUCGGUAGUCUAACCGCAAGGAGGACGCCGCCGAAGGUAAAACUGGUGAUUGGGGUGAAGUCGUAACAAGGUA
rnacentral:rRNA from 1 species